GACGGAGGAUGCAAGUGUUAUCCGGAAUCACUGGGCGUAAAGCGUCUGUAGGUGAUCAAAUAAGUCAACUGUUAAAUCUUGAGGCUCAACCUCAAAAUCGCAGUCGAAACUAUUAGACUAGAGUAUAGUAGGGGUAAAGGGAAUUUCCAGUGGAGCGGUGAAAUGCGUAGAGAUUGGAAAGAACACCGAUGGCGAAGGCACUUUACUGGGCUAUUACUAACACUCAGAGACGAAAGCUAGGGUAGCAAAUGGG
rnacentral:rRNA from 1 species